GACGAACGCUGGCGGCGUGCCUAACACAUGCAAGUCGAACGGGGUACUCCUUCGGGGGUACUUAGUGGCGAACGGGUGAGUAACGCGUGAGGAACCUACCUUCCAGUGGGGGACAACAGUUGGAAACGACUGCUAAUACCGCAUAACACAACGAGACCGCAUGAUCUUGUUGUCAAAGCUUUAUGUGCUGGAAGAUGGCCUCGCGUCUGAUUAGCUAGUUGGUGGGGUAACGGCCUACCAAGGCGACGAUCAGUAGCCGGACUGAGAGGUUGAACGGCCACAUUGGGACUGAGAUACGGCCCAG
rnacentral:rRNA from 1 species